rnacentral:rRNA from 1 species
GACUACGGCCAUGCCACCCUGAACAAGCCCGAUCCUGUCUGAUCUCGGAAGCUAAGCAGGGUCGGGCCUGGUUAGUACUUGGAUGGGAAACCACCUAGGAAAACCAGGUGCUGUAGGCG